AAAUGAUUUUACAAAGACUCAAUGUAUUCCUGAAAACCCUCAACUUGAUGCUCCUCGUUUGACGUCGUGCCUGAUGAGGAACGCCAGGCGUUCGAAAUUGUCAAUAGCACCGAAUUUACAUUAAUAAAUUUAAUUAUUCAUCGUU
rnacentral:lncRNA from 1 species